AUUGAACGCUGGCGGCAGGCCUAACACAUGCAAGUCGAACGAGUGGCGGACGGGUGAGUAAUGUCUGGGAAACUGCCCGAUGGAGGGGGAUAACUACUGGAAACGGUAGCCAAUACCGCAUACCAUCGGAUGUGCCCAGAUGGUAUUAGCUAGUAGGUGGGGUAACGGCUCACAUAGGCGACGAUACCUAGCUGGUCUGAGAGGACGACCAGCCACACUGGAACUGAGACACGGUCCAGACUCCUACGGGAGGCAGCAGUGGGGAAUAUUGCACAAUGGGCGCAAGCCUGAUGCAGCCAUGCCGCGUGUGUGAAGAAGGCCUGCGGGUUGUAAAGUACUUUCAGCGAGGAGGCGUUACUCGCAGAAGAAGCACCGGCUAACUCCGUGCCAGCAGCCGCGGUAAUUC
rnacentral:rRNA from 1 species